CGAGGAGAGGGGGAAGCAGACUCCCUGCUGAUCAGGGAGCCCAAUGCAGGGCUUCAUUCCAGGACCCUGGUGAUCAUGACCUGAGCCAAAGGCAGACGUUCAACCGAGCCACCAAGGUGCCCCUACCUCGCUUUUAAAGCAAUGGCAGGAGUGAAAGCUGAAAUGGCUGGCCACUGGAAGCAUAGAUGCCCACACCCACAAGAAAACUUCAGGUCUUUCUCAAGAAACCACUUCAAGGACAAGUGAGAGAAUAAUGUGUUUCUGAGACCA